rnacentral:rRNA from 1 species
UACAGAGGGUGCAAGCGUUGUCCGGAUUUAUUGGGCGUAAAGAGCGUGUAGGCGGCUAGAUAGGUCCGUUGUGAAAACUCGAGGCUCAACCUCGAGACGUCGAUGGAAACCAUCUGGCUAGAGUCCGGAAGAGGAGAGUGGAAUUCCUGGUGUAGCGGUGAAAUGCGCAGAUAUCAGGAAGAACACCCGUGGCGAAGGCGGCUCUCUGGUACGUGACUGACGCUGAGACGCGAAAGCGUGGGGAGCAAACAGG